GCGGUCGUGAAUUUUUCGAAGUCAUUUUUGGUGCCACAUCAUUUCAGGUGGUUGAAGUGGUCCUAUAGCAGUCAUGAAGCGGGCAAAAAAUUAGAUACAAACAAUACAUAGCUAGAAUCAACCGGAACGUUAUAAAUUUUUGUUGGGGUCUAGGGGUCAGUUUUAAAAUCAGCACACAAGGUGGCCCCACGCACAUCACCAGUCCCUAAUUCAGACUACCUCCGACCAAUCACCACUCAAAACGUAAAACCAACAAGGUCAGCUGCAACUUAACUUUGAUUCAUAACUCAACGAAUUCUCCAAAUCCUGAACUCAGUGAGUCUUUCACGUAUUUGACACUUCAUUUGCCUUUUCUUUUCCCCUCCAGCACAAUUUCACACCCCUAAAUAGCCCAAUUCUCUCUACAAUAUAACUAAAGCCAGUUCAAA